CCUACGGGAGGCUGCAGUGAGGAAUAUUGGUCAAUGGACGAGAGUCUGAACCAGCCAAGUAGCGUGAAGGAUGACUGCCCUAUGGGUUGUAAACUUCUUUUAUAUGGGAAUAAAAUGUUCCACGUGUGGGAUUUUGUAUGUACCAUAUGAAUAAGGAUCGGCUAACUCCGUGCCAGCAGCCGCGGUAAUACGGAGGAUCCGAGCGUUAUCCGGAUUUAUUGGGUUUAAAGGGAGCGUAGGUGGAUUGUUAAGUCAGUUGUGAAAGUUUGCGGCUCAACCGUAAAAUUGCAGUUGAAACUGGCAGUCUUGAGUACGGUAGAGGUGGGCGGAAUUCGUGGUGUAGCGGUGAAAUGCUUAGAUAUCACGAAGAACUCCGAUUGCGAAGGCAGUUCACUGGACUGCAACUGACACUGAGGCUCGAAAGUGUGGGUAUCAAACAGGAUUAGAUACCCGUGUAGUC
rnacentral:rRNA from 1 species